AUUGAACGCUGGCGGCAUGCCUUACACAUGCAAGUCGAACGGUAACAGGUCUUCGGAUGCUGACGAGUGGCGAACGGGUGAGUAAUACAUCGGAACGUGCCUAGUAGUGGGGGAUAACUACUCGAAAGAGUGGCUAAUACCGCAUGAGAUCUACGGAUGAAAGCAGGGGAUCGCAAGACCUUGUGCUAAUAGAGUGGCCGAUGGCAGAUUAGGUAGUUGGUGGGAUAAAAGCUUACCAAGCCGACGAUCUGUAGCUGGUCUGAGAGGACGAUCAGCCACACUGGGACUGAGACACGGCCCAGACUCCUACGGGAGGCAGCAGUGGGGAAUUUUGGACAAUGGGCGAAAGCCUGAUCCAGCAGUGCCGCGUGCAGGAUGAAGGCCUUCGGGUUGUAAACUGCUUUUGUACGGAACGAAAAGCCCCGGGUUAAUACCCUGGGGUCAUGACGGUACCGUAAGAAUAAGCACCGGCUAACUACGUGCCAGCAGCCGCCGUAA
rnacentral:rRNA from 1 species